UGAAACACGGACCAAGGAGCCUAGCAUGUGCGCGAGUCAUUGGGACUAUAAACUAAACCUAAAGGCGCAAUGAAAGUGAAGGUCCGCCUAGCGCGGACCUAGGGAGGAUGGGCCCGUCAUAGGAACGGGCCCCGCACUCCCGGGGCGUCUCGCUCUCAUCGCGAGAAGAGGCGCACCCAGAGCGUACACGCUGGGACCCGAAAGAUGGUGAACUAUGCCUGGUCAGGACGAAGUCAGGGGAAACCCUGAUGGAGGUCCGUAGCGAUUCUGACGUGCAAAUYGAUCGUCGGAACUGGGUAUAGCGGCGAAAGACCAAUCGAACUAUCUAGUACGUGGUUCCUUCCGA
rnacentral:rRNA from 1 species